GCCCGGGUGGUGGAAUUGGCAGACACGUACGUCUCAGAAGCGUAUGCCGUAAGGCAUGGAGGUUCAAGUCCUCUCCCGGGCA
rnacentral:tRNA from 1 species